ensembl:lncRNA
UGUAUAUCCCAGCAGCUGACGCUGCUUCUGGCUCUUAGUAGGGCUCACAGCAUUUAAUUUGUGGCUUGAGGAUAAAAAUAGUAAUAGUUACAUUUAUUGAGCAUUGCCUCAAGCAGCUACUGCCCUGGACUUUCUCGGUGUGUUUCCUCAUUUAAGCCUUACGCCAGCCCCGUGAGGAAGGUGCUGCUUACACUCCUGACUUACAGGCUUGGUCUCCCCUCCUCAGAAGAAGGAACUUGGAGCAGAUGAGCCCUGAGGACCUUUAGUUCUGACAUCCUUUGCUGGUCUGCUCCUUCAGCUCUCAUGGGACAGAGGCUGUGUGGGCAGAGGUGUCACCAUUGCCAGUCCAGGCAAGACCCAGGAGGGCCUUGGUGACUCCAUCCGAACAGCAGGAUGAUAACGCCUCCCUCACAGGACGGCCAUGCAGUCAUGGAAGGAAUGGGGCCCCAGACCUCGUCCCAGCUUCAUCCGGAUGGCGAGGGGCCGGCCAGGAGCUGCUGUGUCCAGCAGGACAUGCCGUGUCUGACACAGCCAGUGGCUACUCCUGGGGAAGGAGGGCGGGCCUGCUACGUGCUGGUCUUGUUUAGGAGGGGCCCUUCCCGCCAGCUGAAAGAUUCCCAAGUAGGACUCAGGCAUGGCGAGAUCCAGCAAGGAAUGGGCUGGAAUGAUCUGACACCAGUGCCCCUGCUGGAACCAGGAGGAGUGCUAACUCAGACUGCACGCUGAUGGCAUCUCCCAGCAAGGAAGAUAUCGUCUGCACAGGACUGACGAAGCAUGCUCCAAGCAUGUCCCCACCAGGCCCAGGACACCCUCCAGGGGCAAGACUCUCCCUGGAGAAGGUCAGAGCUCACAGGCAGAAGGCGCUGGGGCUACAGGUUUCUGCUGCCUGUGGCUCCUUAUCAAGGGCUGCAACUCCAGAGCAGAGCAAGACAACCUUACUAUGCCCCCCUUGGGGUGGGAAUAACUCGGCGGCUGCCAGCGGAGGAUAGUUGGCGAUUUGUACAAGGCGGGCGUGGGGUUUAGAGCUGUGAGGCUGGCUGAGGCCAUGGCUCUGCCAUCCUCUCUGUCCUGCUCGUCUGUCCUGGCCACUCUUCUCUGAGGGGUCAGUCAUGGCCCAGAAGGCCCCAGCUGGCUGCAAACAGCCUGUCCCAUGAUUGAGUUUGUACCUCAAAUCUGCUAAUUUUGAUGGAAAUCCUUCUAAGAUCCCAUUGGUCCUCCCUUUCCACGCAUGUGGGCUGUUGGAAAUAAUGGGGCCAGGACCAGACAGCCCUUUGCCAGUCCUAGGGGCCCUGCAGGGUGGUGAAGCCUCAUCCUGUGGGUGUCACCCCCACAUCUAGGAUGUCGACAGGGUGUGGGGCUGACCUGCCCUUCUCGCCCAUCUUGAGGGUGAGUGAUAUGCCCUCUCUCUGCUCCCUAUACGUGGAGAAGACCGUCUGUCUUCUCUCCCUGGAGUUUGCCUUGGUGCCCUGAGCUGGGAGGUUGAGGGGGGUCCGGAUUGCUUCCCAGGAAAGGCACUGUCGGUCGGCCCAGCCCACAGGGCAUAGCACCUGUUUUAAAGAGACGAGGAGAGGCCGGGACUCCUCUGCCUUGUCCUGGCUCCUUCUUUCCCUUCCAAAGAUGCGCCUUCUUCCCUCCAGGGACUUGGGGCCUUUGUGGGCCCUCCCCACCCCUGCCGUCUGCCCUCUGUCCACCCCGCUCCAGAACACUGCCCAGGGUGAAUGUCGGACUCUUGUCUGUUCCUCUUCAUCUCCUGAAACCAAAAUAAACUGAUAUACGAGGCAGCCAGGGCCGGGGGCCAGGAGCCGAGGCCGCAGGGCACUGCUUUUAGCAGGUGGUGUCCCAGCGCUGGGUCUGAGCCGUCCCAGGACUUGGCACUGACCCACAACCCAGCUCCACCCCACCCUCAACUGGCUCUUCCUCUCCCCUCUCUCUCUCUCCUUCCUGGAAGAGAUGUCAUUGUCAUAAGGAAAAUGUGCUGGUAUUGGCAUCCUCUCUGGGCCCCACGAGGUGUGGGACGCUAUGAAUGCCUCCCCAGCACACACACACACACACCUUUAUUCACGGGAAUUCAGAUUAAAACAAACAUGGAGGGAAGCUUGGAAGGGAGAGGCCAGGUAUGUGUGUGUGUUUGUGUGUGUGUGGCCAAGAGCCAGGCUGAGGCUGGCAGACAGUGCCAUGGCCCUCCCCAGUUCAGCCCCAGGAGCUGUGAGCACAUACAUUCAACAGCUAUUUAAGAGCACCCACUGUGUGCCAGGCACUGUUGUAGGCACUGACACACAGCAGUGAAAAGAAAGACUAUUCUAGAUGGGAGAGACGUGCAAUAAACAAAAUACAAAUAUAUGAUGGGUAAGGGGGAUGAUGAGUGCUGUGGAGAAAAAUAAAGCAGGAUAUGAGGCUGGAGAGUGGGGAGGAGAGAGUCUAUUUAGGAUCCAGAGAGUAGGGUCCCCCUGGGCCAUGCAUGAGCCCUGCAGGCUUUCUCUGGGUGGUCACAUCCUGCUUGCUGCUCCCCCCCAGCUGUUUGGUUUCUGCCUCUGCCUAUUUCUGUCCCGUAAAACCCUCCCGGGGGACUGUUCCUCAGGACCAGCUCUGGGGCCUUGUAGGAGGGCUCCAGAGAUCACUGAGGCCGGGGCUUCUCAGAUGCUUGACGCAAUUUGACGUUCAAAUUAAAACUGCAAUGAGAUACCACUCAGGCCCACCAGAAUGGAUAAUAUGAAAAAAGAUGGAAAAUACCAAGUGUUGGGCAGGAUACGGAGCAGCUGGAACUCUUGCGCGCAGCUGGCAGGAAUGUAAAUUGGUACAACACCUUUGGGAAAUUGUGUGGCAUUUACUCCAGCUGAGCAUAUACCCGCCCUAUGACCCAGCGAUUCCCAUCUUGGGUGUAUACCCCACAGAAACGGGCGCGCAGAUCCACCAAAUUAAUGUUCUAAAAUAUUCAUAGCUACACUCUUCAGCAUUGCCCCAAACCGGGACCCACCCAAAUGUCCACCAACAGUAGGAUGGAUAAACUGUGAUGUAUUUGUAGUGUGGAAUACUAUGCAGCCGCGAGAAGGAACAAUCUGCAACUACAUGAAACGAUAUGGGUGGAUCUCACAGUAAACUGAUGAACGAAAGAGGACACAGGUGUGGCUCUACUCACGUGAAGUUCAGAACAAUCUGUGCCGCUGGAGGGCCGGAGGGCGGUCACCCCUGGCGGGAAGUGGUGGGUGGUGGUGUAGAGGUGAGGGCGGGGACCAAAGAGGCUUCCUGGGUUCUGCUAAUAGUCUCUCUUUGAUGUGGAUGCCGGGUGUGUUCAGUUCGUGAAAUGCAAUGGAGCUGGACACUUAGGACCCGCGCGCUUUUCUGU